rnacentral:sRNA from 1 species
UUUUUGCGCUAGGGAUAGUAGCGGCAUCCUUUUUUGUUGUACUUCGACAAGCUCAUUAUGACAACAAAAAAGAUAUAGCGAAUAGCCCGCUCAGGC